rnacentral:rRNA from 1 species
AGUUAAGUAUAAAUAAUGCGCAUAGUGAAUGCCUUGGUGUUGAUAGGCGAUGAAGGACGCGUUAAGCUGCGAUAAGCUCUAUUUAGCUGCUAAAAAGCUCACGUAGAGAUCUCCGAAUGGGAUAACCCACAUAUAUAUUAUGUAGUCCGAAUGGACGGCGAAACCGCCUGAAGUGAAACAUCUCAGUAAGGCGAGGAAAAAAAAGCAAACGCGAUUCCGAAAGUAGCGGCGAGCGAAAUUGGACCAGCCCAAACCCGCAAGGGGGUCGGGUAUCUAUAAUUUCCAACAAAUUAUCAAUUAGCACUUUGGAAAAAGUGGCUAGAAAAGGUGAUAGCCCUGUGAUUAAUAGUUUGUUGUUAAGUGAUACUUCAAGAGUAAUAUGCGACACGAGAAAUUGCAUGUGAAUAAGCGGGGACCACCCCGCAAGGCUAAAUACUAAUCAACAACCGAUAGUGUACAAGUACCGCGAGGGAAAGGUGAAAAGAACCGCUUUGAGCGGAGUGAAAUAGAACCUGAAACCAUGCGCAAACAAGGUGUCAAAGUUUUUAAAUUAUGGCGUGCCUUUUGCAUAAUGAGUCUGCGAGUCAUUACAUCUUGCGUGCCGAAGCGCAUAACGUGAACAGGCAAAGCGAAAGCAAGUUUUAAAAGGCGACAAAUUGUAUGAUGUAAUGAACCCGAAGCGAAGGUGAUCUACCCAUGGGCAGGCUGAAGUUAUGGUAAUUCGUAAUGAAGGGCCGAACCGGUGAAUCUUGAGAAAUUCUCGGAUGACCUGUGGGUAGGAGUGUAAGGCUAAUCAAACCUCGUAAUAGCUGGUUCUCCCCGAAAUGUAUUUAGGUGCAGCGUUUAUCAUAACCUGAGGGGUAGAGCACUGAAUAGGCUAGGGGGUAAAUUUAUCUACCAAACCUAAAUAAACUCCGAAUACUCAGAUUUAAAGGUAAGCAGUAAGACUGUGGGGGAUAAGCUUCAUAGUCGAGAGGGAAACAACCCAGAUCAUCAAAUAAGGUGCCUAAAUUUGGUUAAGUGGAAAGGAAGUGUGGUUUCAUUGACAGUGAGGAUGUUGGCUUAGAAGCAGCCACCAUUUAAACAGUGCGUAAUAGCUGACUCAUCGAGAGAUCAUGCGCCGAAAAUAAUUGGCGAUAAACCAAAUACCGAUUUUAUGAAAGUUAGCAAUAGCUUGGUAGGGGAGCGUUGCGUUACCAGUGAAGGCGUGAAGUGAUAAUCGCUGGAGGUUACGCAAGUGAGGAUGCAGACAUAAGUAACGUAAAAAGUAGUUAAAUACUACUUCGCCGAAAGUUCAAGGUUUCCUGGGCAACUAUGUUCGUCCCAGGGUUAGUCGGUGCCUUAGCAAUAUUCGUUAAGUGCUUGCGAUGGAAAAUUAGAUUAAUAUUUCUAAACUUGACUGUGUUUCACUUUUUCGUUGGCAGUGAUAGGUUUUUGGUUAUUGCAAACCUAAAUUUCUUUCCUUGUCGAUCAAGAAAAGAAAAGUGAUUAAAUCAGUUUGAGCCGUACCUAAACCAACACAGGUGGACUGGUGUAAACGCACCAAGGCGUAAGAGUGAAGCUUCAUUAAGGAACUCUGCAAUCUAGUCCUGUAACUUAGGGAGAAAGGAUGCCUAAUUAAUUUAGGUCUCAGUAAAUUGGGACAACCGACUGUUUAUCAAAAACACAGCAUUGUGCUAAGACGAAAGUCUAUGUAUACGAUGCGACACGUGACCAAUGCGGAAAGAUUAUGGUAAGAUGUUAGCGAAAGCAAAGCUUCGAGCCGAAGUCCCCGUGAAUGUCGGCCGUAACUAUAACGGUCCUAAGGUAGCGAAGUUCCUUGUCGGGUAAGUUCCGACCUGCACGAAUCGUGUAACGAGUUGUCCGCUGUCUCAAUGAAGUGCUCAGUGAAAUUGUAAUGGCGGUGAAGAUGCCGCUUACCUACAGAAGGACGGAAAGACCCUAUGCACCUUAACUGUAGACUGUUGCUGCGCUUUGGUUUAAAAUGCUUAGAGUAAGUGGAAGGCGUUGAAAAAGUGCUUUCGGGCACUUUUGAGCCAAUAAUGAAACACCACCCUUUUUAAUUUAAGGCGCUAAUCAAAUUUGAAACAACGGCAGUCAGUCAGUUUUACUGGGGCGGUAUCCUCCCAAAAAGUAACGGAGGAGCGCGAAGGCUUGCUCAGUGUGGUUGGCAAUCACACGUUGAGUGCAUUGGCAUAAGCAAGCUUAACUGCAAGACAAACAAGUCGAGCAGAUGUGAAAGCAGGUCAAAGUGAUCCGGCGGUUUAAAGUGGAAUUGCCGUCGCUUAACGGACAAAAGGUACGCUAGGGAUAACAGGCUGAUUUCAUCCAAGAGUUCAUAUCGACGAUGAAGUUUGGCACCUCGAUGUCGGCUCAUCGCAUCCUGGGGCUGGAGAAGGUCCCAAGGGUCCGGCUGUUCGCCGGUUAAAGCGGUACGCGAGCUGGGUUCAGAACGUCGCGAGACAGUUCGGUCCUCUAUCCUCUGU